AUUAGUUCAAUUCUUAGUUUCUAACUAAAAAUUUAUUGUUGCA
rnacentral:tRNA from 1 species